CACGUAGGGCGCAAGCGUUGUCCGGAAUUAUUGGGCGUAAAGAGCUCGUAGGCGGCCUGUUGCGUCCGCUGUGAAAACUCGGGGCUUAACCCCGAGCCUGCAGUGGAUACGGGCAGACUAGAGGUAGGUAGGGGAGAAUGGAAUUCCCGGUGUAGCGGUGAAAUGCGCAGAUAUCGGGAGGAACACCGGUGGCGAAGGCGGUUCUCUGGGCCUUACCUGACGCUGAGGAGCGAAAGCGUGGGGAGCGAACAGG
rnacentral:rRNA from 1 species